AGGACGAACGCUGGCGGCGUGCUUAACACAUGCAAGUCGAGCGGAAAGGCCCUUCGGGGUACUCGAGCGGCGAACGGGUGAGUAACACGUGAGUAAUCUGCCCCUAGCUCUGGGAUAGCUCCGGGAAACCGGGAUUAAUACCAGAUACGACCACUUUAGACAUCUUCUGUGGUGGAAAGAACUUCGGCUAGGGAUGAACUCGCGGCCUAUCAGCUUGUUGGUGAGGUAACGGCUCACCAAGGCGACGACGGGUAGCCGGCCUGAGAGGGCGACCGGCCACACUGGGACUGAGACACGGCCCAGACUCCUACGGGAGGCAGCAGUGGGGAAUAUUGCGCAAUGGGCGAAAGCCUGACGCAGCGACGCCGCGUGGGGGAUGAAGGCCUUCGGUUGUAACCCCUUUCAGCAGGGACGAAGCGAAAGUGACGGUACCUGCAGAAGAAGCGCCGGCUAACUACGUGCCAGCAGCCGC
rnacentral:rRNA from 1 species